CUGCCAGAAAGGAACACGGCAUAGUGGAAACUAUGGAUGGUAAGAGCAGUUGCACAGCCAUGCUGGAUGCCAAAGAGUUGUGUGCUGUGCAAUGGGGAACCAGGGGCACGGAGGAGAGGAGGCCCCUCAAGAGAGGGUCCACUUUAAAAAGGAACUCCACUGCCACUGAUGGAUGUUUUCACUUCCGUAAGGCUCCCAUGUGUCUGAGGAGAUGUUCAGCUUGAAUGGGUGGGAGGGAAGGGCAAGAAAGAGCAGCUAGAAGAGGUUCCAAAGAAAGCUUGGAGAAAUGUGUAAAGCAGAGAUAUGAAGAGGGACACGUCACACACGACAAGCUGAAAUCCAAAGUGGGCGGUGAGGAGAGAAGAAAAAGAGAGAGAGAGAAUUUGAAACCUCAUCACAGGAUUGUCCUCUGGAGUCCAGAAGUAAGGAGCUGAAGGCCCAGCUAGCCUCCAUCAUGGGUGUUCUCCCAGUUCUCCUCUUCUUCCUCCUCCUACUCAACUGUAGUUGUCAGAAGGACUUUCUGAAUCAGCUUCAGAGAUGGAACUACAGAGAAGGAGCAGACAAAGUCAACAUCCACGGCAUUAACAGUGUCACUCGUAUGCUGGAGAAAUGGGGGAACAGCAUCUUCUGGCAAAUGAAACACUCCUUGUUGAGUCACCCUAACACUCUGCUGCCUGAGUUCUCCAGCCUCCAUCCCGUCUCCGAGGCACUUGAUGACCUUCUGAAGGAAGUACGUUCAAUGAAGAAGAGGCUGGAAGAGCUGAACGAACGACUCAGUAUAAUGAGCAGGGCCUUCUCUCCUAUCCGAUUCAAUGCCCUGAGGGGACGGAGGCUCAGCAGUGUGCAGCUGAGAAGACUCCCUUUCCAGAGGAGGAGGAUGUACAUCCGCAGGAGAGUUCAGCAGAAUUAGCUCUCUUACAGAGAAAAAAAAAGAAACAUUUCUGUCUUUCUCUCUUCUGCAAGCCUUUAUCAAUGAGAGACUAUUAGACUGAAUAAAGUAUGAGUGAAAGUCUGGAUGCCUCAGGAGAUUGGCAAUUAUGGGUUAUGGAGAUGCCUUUCAAAUGUAGGUCAUUGGGUCAAACCCAGUCUAGCUCUGUGAUGAUGGCUGUGUUGUGACCCAUGUGUGAUGAGUUGUUGAUCUCAAUCCAGUUAAGUGUUUGUAUAUGUCUCCUAUACAGUUGUCCCCACAUUUCCUUUGGAUUGCCAACUAUAUUCCUUCUAUGCAGAUCAGAUGCCUUUUUCUCUCUGUCCUACUUCACAAAGAACUAUGGACUCAGGGGUUGGGGGAUCAUGUAUACCUAUGGACACUUAGGCCAAAAUUUUCAAAUGUUAGGCACCUAACUUCACACUUAGGUACCAAAAUAAAAGUGACUUGAUUUUCAGUGUGCUGAACAUUUGACUUCAGGGAGAAUUGUACUUGCUUAGCUCCUCUGAAAACAAACCAGACCACUUUUAUUUAGAUGCGUAACGUGAGGCAGCUACAUUUGAAAAUUUUGGUCUCAAUCUAUAAACUGUACAUAUAAAGCAUGUUCUGUUGAUAAGCAGAUUUUUUAGAGUGUGAGGGAGGAGGAACUUCACAAGGCAUUGGAUAACAGGGAACAGUGCCUACAUUUUCAAACAUUGCUAGUGGUUUAGGGUGCCUCAGUUUUGGGGGGCCCACUUUUAGACACUGUAUGGGGCUUGGUUUUUAUAAAGUGCCAAGCACCCACCUGCUGAAAAUCAGGUCCCUUUUAAGCAUCUAUUUAGGGGUGCCAAAAAUCACUAAUCACUUUUGCAAUGUAUGCCCUGAUCUUGACAGCAGUCUUUAAAACACUACACGGCCAACCAAGCCACUUGGGCCCAGAUCCUCAAAUGUAUAUAGGCACCUCACUCACACUGAUUUCAGUGGGAGUUAGGCUCCUAAAUACAGUUGAGGAUCUGGGUCUUGGAGACCAGGGGCCAGAUUUUCAAAGGUAUUUAGGCUCCUAAAGAUGCAGAUAGGUGCCUAGUUGGAUUCUCAGAAGUGCCUCUGUAGGUUAGGUGCCGAACUCACCUGGUUACAGUCUGUCCCCAGAUGAUUAACCAAGGAAUUCUGAGAGGAGUUUUCCUGGUUCAGUUAUAGCACAGAUCUAUCACCCAGUGAGCAUAUGAUACCUACCCUUGUAACCACUAUAUUUAGUUUUGUUUGACUUUAAUGUGGAUUUCUGGACCAGUCAGAUGGUUAGCACUCUUAGCUGUAAUGAGAGAGACCUGGGUUUGAUUUAGGAGAAAACGGAAGAUUUUCUUUCCAGUAAACUUCUGCGAAGUACUUCUCCUCCUAAGGCCUUACAGCUCAGGAGUUUCCUUGACUCACAGGACUUCCCUCUUUAAGUUGAUCAGUGAAACUCCAUUUGAAUAGCAGUAGGAAGUUGUAGGAAAAUGAUGCACUCUCUCCUUCCUUAGGCGAGGUCUACACUACCCGCCUGAAUCGGCGGGUAGAAAUCGACCUCUCGGGGAUUGAUUUAUCGCAUCCCAUUGGGACGCGACAAUCGAUCCCCGAAUCGACGCUCUUACUCCACCAGCGGAGGUGGGAGUAAGCGCCGUCGACAGAAAGCCGCAGAAGUCGAUUUUGCCGCCGUCCUCACAGCGGGGUAAGUCGGCUGCGAUACGUCGAAUUCAGCUACGCUAUUCACGUAGCUGAAUUUGCGUAUCUUAAAUCGACUCCCCCCUGUAGUGUAGAUGUACCCUUAGUCACCCUCUCUGCAGUGUUUCUGCUCUUGCUAGCCUUGGGAAGAAAGUGAGAGACUAUUGAGCACACAAACAAAUCAUGAUUUGGAUUUCUGAGCCAAUGAAACUCCUGUGUCUUAUCUCUCCUCACUGACCAAAAUAUAGGCUCACAGUGGGAGAAAUUUGCCCCUGUGCAGAGGAGCCACACAGGACCUAUACAUCAUUUAAGUUCUAGUUAAGACCUCAAAACAUGGUUUAGGUGAGACAUAAGUGGUAGACAGUCCUUGUGUAGACCUUCUGCAUAGGGGUGAAUUUCACCCGAUGAAAAUUAGGCAAAGUGGUGAUGAAGUGGCUGAACUCUUGCCGUCUGACAUAGGAGAAGACUAAACAAAAGACAGGAAAUAACAGUUUUUCUCUCAAGACCCUGGGUAAAAGUACUCUUCUUAUGAAAAGGUAAAGGGAGUUGACAAAGUGACACUUUCAUUUCUAUUUCUACCAAAAGUGAUGUCAUGGACCAAAUAAAUCCAAAGGUAAUUGUCCUGCCCUGUACAGAACUAGUGAAAUUCACCUACAAUAUUGAACUCUGUUCUGGUUGAGUGCAUAUCUGAAAUGUUAGUAAAUUGGCAGAAAAUUCAGAGAGGAAACACACCCACCCACCCCCUAUUAAAGGCCUGAAUGGAAUAACAUGAAAAAAGAAAGAGCAUUGUAUCUAGACUGAAUAAAUGGCUAGUAGGAGGGCAACAUGACAAUUGUUUGCAAAUAUUUUAAGGAGGCAGAAAAGGCUGAUAGGAACAUGCUACUGUACCUCUGAACAAAUGUGUCCUCAUCUUUUGUCAAGAACUGCACAGUAAUACAUUUCAUAAUUUUUUUAAGUAAAUGACUGAAUAGAAUAACAGGAAAUAAAGACUAUCUCAGCAUUUGCUCUGUUAUUACAUAUUAUCAAUUCUCACACUGUUUUGCACAGAACUCCCACUCUGCUUAGUGGUAGUGUCUUGCAAAUGUUGCUUGCAGGACUGGGGUUAUGGUUUUAAAGUCUGUUGACUGCUUUGGGAUCUCUGGAUAAGAGACACUGAAAAUGUCAGUUUUCAUUAUUUGUUCAUCUUUCAGGUAUGGAGAUCCCAUUGCCAGGUUUCCUGAAUCUGUACAGAUGGAAAAUAUUGGUCAGAUGUGAAACUAUUCAGCUCACAGAACCCACUCAUAAUAUUUUGUUAAAGAAUAAAAUAAAUUUUAAUGUGGA